GUCCGAUGUUAAAAUCAUCUGUUAGAAGGGCCGGGCAAGACCGGUGCCAGCCGCCGCGGUACACCGGCGGCCCGAGUGGUGAUCGUGAUUAUUGGGUCUAAAGGGUCCGUAGCCGGUUUGGUCAGUCCUCCGGGAAAUCUGAUGGCUCAACCAUUAGGCUUUCGGGGGAUACUGCCAGGCUUGGAACCGGGAGAGGUAAGAGGUACUACAGGGGUAGGAGUGAAAUCUUGUAAUCCCUGUGAGACCACCUGUGGCGAAGGCGUCUUACCAGAACGGGUUCGACGGUGAGGGACGAAAGCUGGGGGCMUSMUCCKUUUUAGAUACCCGGGUAGUCCCAGCCGUAAACGAUGCAGCGAUUUCAGGCAUGGCGCGACCGUGUCUGGUCCGCAGGGAASCMGUGWAGCGAGCCACCYUGG
rnacentral:rRNA from 1 species